rnacentral:snoRNA from 1 species
GUUGGUGGUGACAAUGGAGAUGUUGAUGACACUGGUGACUAGCAUUUUCACGAUUUUCUGAACAAUUAGCACAAUCAUUCGAAUCUGGCU